AUUAAUUGUUAUCUCUUGAGGAACAUAGGCUUUCUUCAAGAUCUUCAGUAAAGCCUCUCUAUGCCCCUCAGAGCUUAACAGCAACGAUAAGAUCGAAAUUUUGGAAGGAGUUUGCUGCAGAUGGUCAACCAAUUUGUACUCAGAUUUCUUGAUGAUUCUUAAAAAUUCCUCUGCAUCAUCAUCAAGCUUUUCUUCCGACCCCGCAGGCGCCGGUAUCGAUACUGGAGUAUCAUUGUUCACCACUGCUUUCCCUUUUGCCCUGGCUAAAGCCUCGG
rnacentral:lncRNA from 1 species